CGAAUGCCAUGCGCGAGCGGCGCGCGCGGUUGCGGGUUGCGGCCGCGGAGCGGCGGCGCAGCCGCGCGGCGAUGGUGCCGCCGGUUAUCGA
rnacentral:tRNA from 1 species